CGUGUAGUUUAAAACUUUUCUAGACAUCUACGCAGUAGAAAUAAAUAAAUUAAAAUAAUUUUAAUUUAUUCAUAUAUCAGAUUAGAUCUAUAACUGUAGUAAAGAUCUUGAUAUGAAUAUGUACCCAUGAUCUGAUAUCUGAAAUAGAAAAAUAAACUGUUAGAAAAAUAAAAUAGAGAUCGAAUCUCCAUAUCUCGAAUCCUGCGGAUGUCCCAGAUUC
rnacentral:lncRNA from 1 species